GAAUUAGAUCUUGCGCAUCAUAGCAACAACGGAUAAGGACCUCAACUUGUAGCGUGAUGGGAAUAUACUUGCAAUGCAAACCCUAUUGUUGGGCAGGGAUAUGAGUAGACCUGCUUAUGAGCUAGAUUUCGAGUGUAGACCCGAUUCAUUUUUAAUUAGACUUCGGGUCAAAUCUAUGUAAAUUUUAAUAUUUUCUAGGUCCAAGCCCGGCCCGUGAUCAGAUCUAGUCAUACGAGGUAACAAAAACUUGGCUAGAGAUAGCGAUGGGAUGAAUAUGAAUCGGACCAACCCAUAUCUAUAUCCAUCCUGUAAGUAAAAAUCUCAAAUCUAUUUCCACCCCAUGUCCAUCUCGGAUCAGAUCGGGACAAGUAGAAAUGCAAAUUGGAUUG
rnacentral:lncRNA from 1 species